rnacentral:rRNA from 1 species
GACGAACGCUGGCGGCGUGCUUAACACAUGCAAGUCGAACGGAAAGGCCCUGCUUUUGUGGGGUGCUCGAGUGGCGAACGGGUGAGUAACACGUGAGUAACCUGCCCUUGACUUUGGGAUAACUUCAGGAAACUGGGGCUAAUACCGGAUAGGAGCUCCUGCUGCAUGGUGGGGGUUGGAAAGUUUCGGCGGUUGGGGAUGGACUCGCGGCUUAUCAGCUUGUUGGUGGGGUAGUGGCUUACCAAGGCUUUGACGGGUAGCCGGCCUGAGAGGGUGACCGGCCACAUUGGGACUGAGAUACGGCCCAGACUCCUACGGGAGGCAGCAGUGGGGAAUAUUGCACAAUGGACGGAAGCCUGAUGCAGCAACGCCGCGUGCGGGAUGACGGCCUUCGGGUUGUAAACCGCUUUCGCCUGUGGCGAAGCGUGAGUGACGGUAAUGGGUAAAGAAGCACCGGCUAACUACGUG